UCUUAGCCUCUUCGGCUGCGGUGUAGC
rnacentral:piRNA from 1 species